GCGCGAAACCUCUGCAAUAAGCGAAAGCUUGACAGGGUUACUCUGAGUGAUUUCCGCUAAGGAAGUCUUUUGGCACCUCUAAAAAUGGUGCAGAAUAAGGGGUGGGCAAGUCUGGUGUCAGCCGCCGCGGUAAUACCAGCACCCCGAGUGGUCGGGACGAUUAUUGGGCCUAAAGCAUCCGUAGCCGGUCCUGCAAGUCCUCCGUUAAAUCCACCCGCUCAACGGUUGGGCCGCGGGGGAUACUACAGGGCUAGGAGGCGGGAGAGGCAAGCGGUACUCGAUGGGUAGGGGUAAAAUCCACUGAUCCAUUGAAGACCACCAGUGGCGAAGGCGGCUUGCCAGAACGCGCUCGACGGUGAGGGAUGAAAGCUGGGGGAGCAAACCGGAUUAGAUACCCGGGUAGUCCCAGCCUGUAAACGAUGCAGACUCGGUGAUGGGCUGGCUUCGUGCCAACCCGGUGCCGCAGGGAAGCCGUUAAGCUAGCCGCGUGGGGAGUACGGUCGCAAGACUAGGUAAACUAAAGGAAGUUGGGCGGGGGAGACCG
rnacentral:rRNA from 1 species